GAUGAACGCUGGCGGCGUGCCUAAUACAUGCAAGUCGAGCGAACAGACGAGGAGCUUGCUCCUCUGACGUUAGCGGCGGACGGGUGAGUAACACGUGGAUAACCUACCUAUAAGACUGGGAUAACUUCGGGAAACCGGAGCUAAUACCGGAUAAUAUAUUGAACCGCAUGGUUCAAUAGUGAAAGACGGUUUUGCUGUCACUUAUAGAUGGAUCCGCGCCGCAUUAGCUAGUUGGUAAGGUAACGGUUUACCAAGGCAACGAUGCGUAGCCGACCUGAGAGGGGGAUCGGCCACACUGGAACUGAGACACGGUCCAGACUCCUACGGGAGGCAGCAGUAGGGAAUCUUCCGCAAUGGGCGAAAGCCUGACGGAGCAACGCCGCGUGAGUGAUGAAGGUCUUCGGAUCGUAAAACUCUGUUAUUAGGGAAGAACAAAUGUGUAAGUAACUAUGCACGUCUUGACGGUACCUAAUCAGAAAGCCACGGCUAACUACGUG
rnacentral:rRNA from 1 species